rnacentral:lncRNA from 1 species
GUCCUUCUUACUCUUCUUCUUUUCCUUCUUGAUCAACUGAGGAGCUGCUGGAGGAGUCUCGUCACUUUCACUCUCACUCUCUCGCUUCCGCUGAGAUGAAAGCAAUUGGUUAAGUGUUAGAUCUUGGGCAAUAAUGGACAAGAAAGGUUCAGUGAGUCAAAAGGUAGCAAGGCACCAAGAAAGAUCCCAACUGAAUCUAACAGGACGUUUUCUGACUACAAACCCGGACAGGGCCUUAGUUUACUGAGGAUUUGAAGACAGUCUCAUCCCCCAAAUCCAAGAAGCCUUGAGGCAGGCACAAGAGAAGGAGCACAGCAGCAGCACGGGGCUUGGGGUGGAAAGGCCCGGAGGAGCUGUUUCUCUCAUGACUGCAAGGACCUCUCACAGAAAGCAGGCAAAGCAGGAAUUCACAUCUGACAAGUCAGAAGCUCCUCCCACACAGCCUGUGCAGGAUACUCAGUACCGCCCCCGGUUUCUGAGUGCAGACCUGUCAUUCUG